UACGGAGGGUGCAAGCGUUAUCCGGAUUUACUGGGUUUAAAGGGUGCGUAGGCUGUUGUAUCAGUCAGCGGUGAAAUCAGUGGGCUCAACCUACUAAUUGCCGUUGAAACUUUAUGACUUGAAUUUGAUGGAGGUAGGCGGAAUGUUGCAUGUAGCGGUGAAAUGCUUAGAUAUGCUACGGAACACCGAUUGCGAAGGCAGCUUACUACAUCAAUAUUGACGCUGAUGCACGAAAGCGUGGGUAGCGAACAGGAUUAGAUACCCUGGUAGUCCACGCCCUAAACGAUGAUUACUCAACAUUGGCGAUAUUUACUGUUCAGUGUUUUAGCGAAAGCGUUAAGUAAUCCACCUGGGGAGUACGUCCGCAAGGAUGAA
rnacentral:rRNA from 1 species